ACUCCAGAAGUGGCUUCAUCAGUGCUGAAUAGAGGGGAAUAAUCACUUCCCUUGAUCGGCUGGCAAUGCUCCUGCUAAUGCAGCCCAAUAUGCUGUUAGCCUUCUUGACAACAAGGGCACACUCUUGGCUCAUGUCCAGCUUCUUUGUCUCCUGUAAUCCCCAGUCUUUUUCUACAGAACUGUUGCCU